rnacentral:rRNA from 1 species
GACAGAGGUGCCAAGCGUUAUGCGGAAUCACUGGGCUUAAAGCGUGUGUAGGCGGCCUUCUAAGUGCCUUGUGAAAUCCCACGGCUCAACCGUGGAACUGCUGGGCAUACUGGGAGUCUUGAGCAAUCUAGGGGCGAGCGGAACAAAUGGUGGAGCGGUGAAAUGCGUAGAUAUCAUUUGGAACGCCAAUGGUGAAAACAGCUCGCUGGGGGUUUGCUGACGCUGAGACACGAAAGCCAGGGGAGCAAACGGG